rnacentral:rRNA from 1 species
ACAACAGGGAUUGCCCUAGUAACGGCGAGUGAAGCGGCAACAGCUCAAAUUUGAAAUCUGGCGCAAGCCCGAGUUGUAAUUUGUAGAGGAUGUUUCUGGCGACGUGCCUUCCGAGUUCCCUGGAACGGGACGCCAUAGAGGGUGAGAGCCCCGUACGGUUGGAUGCCUAGCCUCUGUGAAACUCCUUCGACGAGUCGAGUAGUUUGGGAAUGCUGCUCUAAAUGGGAGGUAUACGUCUUCUAAAGCUAAAUACCGGCCAGAGACCGAUAGCGCACAAGUAGAGUGAUCGAAAGAUGAAAAGCACUUUGAAAAGAGGGUUAAAAAGUACGUGAAAUUGUUGAAAGGGAAGCGUUCAUGACCAGACUUGAGCAGGUUGAUCAUCCGUGGUUCUCCGCGGUGCACUCUGCCUGCUCAGGCCAGCAUCAGUUCGCUCCGGGGGAUAAAGGCUCUGGGAAUGUGGCUCCCUCGGGAGUGUUAUAGCCCACUGCGUAAUACCCUGGGGUGGACUGAGGUUCGCGCUCUGCAAGGAUGCUGGCGUAAUGGUCAUCAACGACCCGUCUUGAAACACGGACCAAGGAGUCGUCUUCGUAUGCGAGUGUUCGGGUGUCAAACCCCUACGCGUAAUGAAAGUGAACGUAGGAGAGAGCUUCGGCGCAUCUCCGACCGAUCCUGAUGUUCUCGGAUGGAUUUGAGUAAGAGCAUACGGGGCCGGACCCGAAAGAAGGUGAACUAUGCCUGUAUAGGGUGAAGCCAGAGGAAACUCUGGUGGAGGCUCGCAGCGGUUCUGACGUGCAAAUCGAUCGUCAAAUAUGGGCAUGGGGGCGAAAGACUAAUCGAACCUUCUAGUAGCUGGUUUCCGCCGAGCUCCCCCUCGGUAUUAA